AUCGACAUAGCAUAGGCAACAAAUCAGAAGUCAGGGAAUCAAGCUAAUUAAUUAAAAAAGUCUAAACUGAGUGAAAAGUCUAACUAUAAAUAAUAGAUUUUAACUUGUUAUGUCUUUUCAGAGUCUUGGUUUUCUCAACGUUUGGGAAGGCAAGUGUUUCUUAUUUGUCACACAAUUGUAAUUGCAUUAAAAAAUUCAAUGAUUUCUCAAAUGUCAUAUUUUUUUACAAAGAAAUGACGGAACUUUGACAUUUCAAUUUCAGACAAGAAAAAUAACAAUAACAAAAGAAGUCCUUUUGGCUGUCACUGACAAGCUUCGAGCCACAACCAAAACAAAAGACAACGAUGAAGGUGACGAGAAAGACACUUUCUGGGGCGAGGUGUGUCAGGAGCUUGGAAUAUCCGAUUCCAAGACCAAUAGGACACGGCUUCAUCAUGCCUAUAAUCAUCAUAAAAAGAUGAGACACAAGACACAGAUGGUGACCGCAGCACCUGCCAGCCCAUCGACAGACAGUGACCACACGGCCUGCCCCAUCGACAGUGACCACAGUUCCACUGACAUUGACCGCACAGUGCCUGCUACCCCAUCGUCGGUUAGACAGGCAUUCACAGAGACGAGUGAACCAGAAGACGUUUCAGAGUGUAAUUCAUCAGGGACAUAUGACUCCUCAUCACACUCAAAAGAUGGGCAACUCUUACACUCAUUUAAAUUGCCUUCAAAUCCUUCAUUUUUUUUUGUCACUAAAAGUGACUGGAAGAAACUGAGGAUGAGACAACAUAAGCGUCGAUUCAAAUCUUUAAACUGGACUUCAGUCAUGGCCACUGGCAUCCGGAGUGUCCAC